GAGCGGCUUUUGUAGAUGUACUUUGUCCGUUUGGGAAAUUGCCUCCCGACAUCCCCAUUCUCGACAAUGUGGAUCGAGGGAAGGAAUCAAAGACUUGUC
rnacentral:telomerase_RNA from 1 species